GAACGGACUUCAGGCUGAAGGACAAAUAUGUUUGAGUGAUUCAAUUGAAUGGGAAAGUGUGUCCAAACUUUUGACUGGCAGUGUAUGAGGCACACACACA